CGUAGGGGCAAGCGUUAUCCGGAUUUACUGGGGUGUAAAGGGAGCGUAGACGGACGGGCAAGUCUGAAGUGAAAGGCAGGGGCUCAACCCCUGGACUGCUUUGGAAACUGUCCAUCUAGAGUGCCGGAGAGGUAAGCGGAAUUCCUAGUGUAGCGGUGAAAUGCGUAGAUAUUAGGAGGAACACCAGUGGCGAAGGCGGCUUACUGGACGGUAACUGACGUUGAGGCUCGAAAGCGUGGGGAGCAAACAGGAUU
rnacentral:rRNA from 1 species